rnacentral:rRNA from 1 species
UACGUAGGGUGCAAGCGCUGUCCGGAAUUAUUGGGCGUAAAGAGCUCGUAGGCGGUUCGUCGCGUCGGCUGUGAAAACCCGGAGCUCAACUCCGGGCCUGCAGUCGAUACGGGCGGACUUGAGUGUUGCAGGGGAGACUGGAAUUCCUGGUGUAGCGGUGAAAUGCGCAGAUAUCAGGAGGAACACCGGUGGCGAAGGCGGGUCUCCGGGCAACUACUGACGCUGAGGAGCGAAAGCGUGGGGAGCGAACAGG